GCUGUCCUGUGAACGCUAAUGCAUGUGUAAUGCAAUACGAACAGUCAUUACAGGAGAGCUGCUAUAUUUCCAUAUUCGUCUUGAAGACUCUAGUGUGAGCUUGUCACAACAGGAGACGUUCCCUCCAAGUACAGUAUAGAGCCAAUGUUCUUGUAGCUAGCCAUGCUGCAUUGUGGGAAAAAACUGUGGGGUACAUUCAAGCCUCCAGCUAAACGCGGUGCUUUGACGGCUCGCUCCAGACCGUACCUGACAUUUGUCCCCAGUCCAACCGGAUGCGGCAUGAAAAAUUCACUGAGAAGAGGAGCUGGAAGAAAUCAACAUUUCUCCCGUGACUUUCACCUCGGGGAGAGCAAGGUUGUCCUCUGGAAAGCGUUGAGUAUAAUUAAUGGAUGACGGUCGUCUCAGGGUGGGGUCGGGCUCAUAGUUGGCUAAAUGAGGCCAUCGCACACCCCGCUGCUUAUUACCAAUGGCAAAAAAAGACGCUUAACUCGUCCCUUAAGUCAAGAGAAACCAGCUGACACGCCAACAACGAGACCAUCAAGGACAAAGUCAGAUGCCUGGUUGCUUCCAUUGCUCAAAUGCUGAAAACAAGACGUUAGAGGUGGGCGAUAUGACCAAAAUCCU